ensembl:lncRNA
CCCGCCCCGCCCCCGUCCGCGGAGGCCCACACUAGGCCACGCCCCGUCGGCAACGCCCCUCUCCGAUGCUUGGGUCCUGAGUGCCAGCGCUGUUUCCCAGCGCUGGUACCUAUGAAAAGCCCCAGAAUUACUGUCGGCCAGGAUGUGGAGAAACUGGAAUUCUUGUGCACUGUUGGGAAUGUAAAAGUGGCGCCGCUGCUGUUAAGAGUUUGUUUCCCUACCAAAGCUGAAUACAGAAUUACUGUAUGAUCCAGCAGUAUAGCUUCUGAGUAUAUAUCCACAAGAACUGAAAGCAAGCCUCCAGGUUCAAGAAGUACAGUAAGUCUCCAACUUACCAUUCUGAGAGAAUAUUCCUAAGCCAGAUUCGUUGGCAAGUCUGGCAAGGAGUCAUUUAGAAAGGCACUGGCAGGACCAGUUUGAAAGAACUGAAAUCCAGAAGGGGUGGCAUUCACACAAAGGUUGUGCACCAUCUCCAGGUGCUUAUGAUGUUAGCACAUCAGAGGUAUCUAAAGGACCAGCAUCGUUCCAGAAAUCACAAAGAUUUAAAAAACAAAAGAAUCUCAGCAAAAUCUUAAUGUUGACGAAGAUACCACCUUGCCUGCUUCAGCAAAGAAAGCUAAGCCUUGGAGGGAAUCUCAGAAGGGG